UUCAUUUGAUACUCUUGUACUUAUGGCACUACCAAGGCCAACAGAGAUCAUGUAGACCAUCCAACAUGUGUUAAGGCUUAUCGAUAGCACAGAUGUCUCCAGUUUGGGAUUUGGGAGUAGACCAGACAAGAGAACCACCAUCUCAAAAGACCAAUAUUCCAAGCAUAUCAUGAUUGCUGAAGGAAUUGCAAGCUUUACAAAGCUGAGGAUAUCAUGCAGUGCUUCUCUUGAAAACCCUCUCCAAGUCUUCAUGCAAGCUGGGGAGAAUUUAAUAUACAUUGCUAAUAAGAAUACGUUAAUCCAAUAGGAAAUGGUAAUUGCCAAGGCAGCUCCUUUGCUUCCAAGUCCAGACUUGAAAACAAGAACCCAACACAUAAGAAUGUGCAGAGAAGCUGUAAUCCCAGAGCUGACCAUCAUAGGAAUAACAUUAUUUUGGGUUUGGAGAAAUCUGUUCAGGCAUUGCAGCAAGCCAAAGGCAAAAAGGCUAGGAAUCAUCCAGCGAUUGAAUGUUCCUGCUCCAGUUGAUAUCUCGUGAUCUUGGCCAACAAAUAUAAGAAUGGUGCUGGUGUAAAACCAGAUGAUUGCCAGGGGAAUGCUUAGUGCUAGAAGGGUUAGCAUUGCCCUUUGUGCGUGAAUUCCAAGCAUGUGGUAUUGUUUUGCUCCAUAGGCUUGCCCACAAAGUGUCUCCAAUGCACUUCCCAUCCCUAGCAAUACACUGAAACCAGUCACUGAACCGAAGGAAGAUGCCAUGGAAGCGCUAGAAAGAGCAAGCUCACCAAGAUGCCCCACAAACAUAACAGAUAUCAAUUGCAAACAAUACUGCAGCAUACUAACUGCUAUAAGUGGCCCCGCAAGCCACAGUUGCUUCUUUGCUUCUUCAAUAAAAUCCCCUCUGCAGCAAUUUUGUUUAGAUAAUUCUUCUUCUUCUUCUUCU
rnacentral:misc_RNA from 1 species